rnacentral:tRNA from 1 species
UCCCUGAUGGCUCAGUAGUAAAGAAUCUGCCUGCAGUUCAGGAGACCUGGGUUUGAUCCCUGGUUUGGGAA